GCAAAGCUGUGCUCUGCCAUACAGAGCAAACAUUUGGAAGCAUUUGGAAGGACACAUUUUAAAAAACUGAGUUAUGUAUUUCUUGGGCAUUUUUAGGUAAUUCCUAGAGUUCAGAGCAUUAAUAUACCAUAUUCAUUGCCUUAAUUCUCUCUCUGAAUGUUUUUGUUCUAAAUACAGUCCUGCACGUUGUGAAAGUAGGCAGCUCAUUAGUUAGCUCUGUUAUUGUUCCUGAGCAAGAGAGAGCAAAUUUGCCUGUGGUAAAUGAAACUCCGAAUAAUGACAGUGAAUUGCAAAGCGGCUGCCACUCUAAAGCCCUCAGCUGAUGUUUUCUCAGCCAAAGAAGGGGACUGGCUGAACACUGAUGCUGGCCGUGAGCAAAGCUGGGUCACAGUCAGCUCCGGCAGAGUGCCUGUGACAUUCAGUGUGACACUGGCUCUACUCCACAUCUGUUUUGUUUUGUUGUUGUUGUUUUCCGUGAAAGGCAUCAUUGUAAUGUGUCCUUGCAUGGUAAUGUCUCAUCCUGCUCACCCUGCACUGAUCACGAUGCUCCAGCAGUCAUGCAAAGGACUGACACAACUACAUGGCACUCUAGGAACAGCCAAAAGGCGAAUCAUUAUUCAGAAUAAAACUACCCUAGGGUAAGGAAGAACCGGAACAUCUUUCUUACAGGAUAUGCCUUAUUUCAGCAAGCCUUUAAACUGCUUCAUCUCCACUGGCAAAAACAUCUGCUGCCUUCUGAGCUCCCCAGGAUGGUUGCAACCCUGUGACACCAGCACUGGGCAGCACUAAUGGGGACAGGGCCUGGGGGCAGGGGUUACUAUUUCCCUGGCCCCCAGUGAACCUUUGCCUGCUCAUUCUGUUUGCAUUUCCUUACAACAGUUUUGCCUAUCUCAUGCUCAUUGCGUGCUCUGGCAGCAUGCCGAGGGGUGGUGCUCACUGCAGCAGUCAGUGUGAUGGCUGAUGGCAGUGCCACGGGGCCAUCAAACCCGGCUCCCUCUAGACACAGUGUGGGGAGGUAACUGUGGCAUUCAGGUGGCCAACCUGAUUGUCAGGUUUCUCCCUCCUGGGCAACGUGGUCCCUGAGUCACCGCCGGGCCAUUUCAGGGGCAGCCUGCUGUCUGAACAUGACCCAGGUCCAGCCUGCCAGUCCCAACCCCUGCGAGAAGAAUAAAUGAAAUACAAAGAAGAGAGAGGCAGAAAUUAAUGAGCUCUGGCUCAAAUUGUAAACUCCCUCUGUGAGGAAAACAAGAGGAGGGAAGCAAGAGUGGUGAAGCAGAGAGGAUAGAAGAAGGUGGCAGCAAUGAUAUCAUCCUGUAAAGACAGAACAGCCACAACUAUUAAUGGGAUUCCACAGAAAAUUGUAUGAUGUCUUAGAGGCUUUUCAGUGCCUUCCUGGCCACUGCUGAGAGAUCCCAAUACAUACUGUCUAUUGGGAAGGAAAAAUCAAAACGAGGCUCUCUCUUAAGUAGAAAGAACAAAUUGCUUUAAAAGACGUGUUGCCAUGAGUGUGCCAGCGGGCAGCCCUGUUCUCUGCCAGUGCACAACAGAACUGGCACCGCUACACCUGGAGGACUUUCAUGUAAACCUUCAUGCCUGUGGUGCCCAGCGGAUGCACGGCCUUGCCUCACUGUAAGGUCCUGGUCUGAGUGACUCUGGCAUCGCCAGCUGAAACUGCACCUGUGGGGAACUGGCCUCCCAUCACAUCGCAUCACAUCAAAGGAGGGCUGCGGGCAUUCUCUCAGUGCGCUCCUUAGAGCUGAGGCAACGCUCAGAGAUCAGUGCUUAAGCAGGGUGUAUUUCUUCUAGGGGUGGUUGUGGUGGAGAGGCAUGGAUGCAGAGUGUUACAUCUGUUCAUGCGGAAAUGGAAAGAAUGCUUUGGCUUUCCGUCUUACAAGGAAAUGUUGGCUCUUUAUGGAGGACAGGUGGCAAAGUCCAAAUUAACAAAUAGACAGAAAGCAUUACGAUGGCAAACAAAUGAAAUAAAACCAAAUAACUUCCUUGGCACAUGUCCCCUGUACACUCCAGCCACUUUUCCAGGCUUUUACACAAUAUCUAGUGGUUAAAUACAUUGAUGGUUUUCGCUGGAAAAGGAGAAGGGCUUUUUUUAAUCAUAAGGCAAGAAGCCAUGAACCCGUUCUCCAUGUGCCUCACUGUGAAGGCAUGCAAAUUGUGGCUACUCACAGGUGAAUUUUCCAGAGUCCACUCACUCAAGCAAAGACUGAGCCAUAGUUCUGCUAGCUUUAGUAAACCCUUGCCUUGGUUUCCAUUUUAUGUCUGCUCACCUGUGUGGGGAAGAAAUAAAGAAACUGCUUCUCCCAGCUCACAGAGACAGGAGAACUCCUGAUCCUACUGUUUGUACUCUUGUUCUUUCUUUGAGGAAACGCUAUGAGUAGGUCAUGCCCUUUUGUAUCCUAAUGCAAAAAAUAGACUUCAACUGUCAUUUAAAGAGAGCUAAGAAAGAAGAGGGAACGGUAACAGCUUCAGGCCCUGCAGGAGAGGUCUGACAAUGGGUAAUUCGACAGGAAGGCACGAGCACACUGUGAUCAUUGUAUUAUUCAGUGGGCUUUUAUUACUGUUAUUCUGGGAUUUACAACGGCUGAUCAUGAUUCUUUUUGUCCCUUCUGGUAUGUGUCCUGUUGGCCACAGAAAUCUGUUUCACUUAUCUUUGAGGCUGGUUAUAUUUAGACUUCAGAGCUGGCAUGCUCAUGACAUGGCCCAGUCCCAAAGCCACUAGCUGUCUGCACUGGAACUGGAGCUGGGACAGGCUGCAUGCUUGAUGGUCUGUGCAUCCAUCAGUCCUUUUGUGUGCCCCCACCGCUCUGGCAAGGAGUCAGGGCAUGGCCAGGAUACACUUGUGGACCAAGGUUCAUGCACCUCUGGGACCCAUGAUUUAGAUGUAGCCAAAGUCUAACUUGGAGGAGAAGGGUUCCCUUUGUUAUGAAUGAUAUUACAGUAACAUCUGCUCACUUGCUGCUGCACAAGAGGUCUUUCAGAGCCUGCCAUCCAGUGAACUUGAUUUCAUAGAGUAUCUUCUAGAAGCUACUUCAUCUGACUGUAGUUAAUGUAGUUAAACAAAAGCUAAAUGAAAACGAAUGCCCAUAUAAGCAGCUGGUUCUGGACAACCUUGUGACAGAUAUUUGAGAAAUGCCCUUUAGUCGCUGGAAGGUAUUUCUCCUUGAGAUGUUCUGUGUAUGUGUCAACUGAUGAAAAUCCUGCCUGUAUUUCUGCAGCCACAGGUGAUUAGGAGUUGCUCCCCAGUGUAAUUCAAAUCUACCAGGCUUCUCCCAGGACAGGUCAAGUGAGCAGAGAGAGACCUUUGCAUGUUCGAUUGUAUAUGACUGAACAAGAUCUGCUUCAUCUGUGCUUUAUCAGGGCUAUAAAACUUGGGUCUGUGUAGACAGCAUAAGGUAAACUUAAACUACAAGUCAGGUUCAACGUUGCUGUUUCCUGAAUUGCGAAAGGCAGCAGUCUCUCAGUUACAUUGAGCUCUGUGUAGGCACAAACUUCCUGGAGACAAAGUAUAGGAACCUCCAAACAAUGCAAGUGGCUGAGACUCCACUGGUGUUAAAAGUUAGAAACCCCUUCGGAAUGCCAGUAAGAAAGAGAACGUGCAUUAACAAAGCCUUGUAUUUUUGGGACUGGCCUCUCCUGAUUGUUCUCUGACUGCAAAUGAACUCUGCAGAUGCCAGGAGGCAGAGGAAACGUCUUGUGCUAGAAAUGGCGUUUGUUCCCUGCUUUAUGAAUUGGACUCCAAAGCGGUAAGACUGGGUAGCAGGCACCAGUGACGGCUUCUGCCCUGCUACAAUUUUAUUAUACUCUGACAUACCAACAAAAAGUGCACAAAAGACUUUGAGUGGUGAAGAUACGCC